GGUUUCAUAGUGUAGUGGUAAUCAUUUGGGUCUCUGAAUCCCAAGACACGAGUUCGAAUCUCGUUGGAACCU
rnacentral:tRNA from 1 species